GGGAGGUUAUUGGAGGUUUAAAGGAAAGAAGGAAACAAAGGGCGGGAAGCUGAAGAAGAAAACUUCUAGUCACACAUGUUUUAUCAAACUCUCAAUUAAUACAUCGAAGCCUAGUAGAAUUCGACGUAUAGUUUUUAAGUUGAGGAGUUAAAGACUCUACAUUGUGAAAGACGUUACGAGAAGAAAAGAGAAGGUUGCCC
rnacentral:lncRNA from 1 species